rnacentral:rRNA from 1 species
UACGUAGGGCGCAAGCGUUAUCCGGAAUUAUUGGGCGUAAAGAGCUCGUAGGCGGUCUGUCGCGUCUGCUGUGAAAACUCAGGGCUUAACCCUGAGCUUGCAGUGGGUACGGGCAGACUAGAGUGCGGUAGGGGAGACUGGAAUUCCUGGUGUAGCGGUGAAAUGCGCAGAUAUCAGGAGGAACACCGGUGGCGAAGGCGGUUCUCUGGGCAUUACCUGACGCUGAGGAGCGAAAGUGUGGGGAGCGAACAGG